GACGAACUUUGGCGGCGUGCUUAACACAUGCAAGUCGAACGGAAAGGCCCUGCUUUUGUGGGGUGCUCGAGUGGCGAACGGGUGAGUAACACGUGAGUAACCUGCCCUUGACUUUGGGAUAACUUCAGGAAACUGGGGCUAAUACCGGAUAGGAGCUCCUGCUGCAUGGUGGGGGUUGGAAAGUUUCGGCGGUUGGGGAUGGACUCGCGGCUUAUCAGCUUGUUGGUGGGGUAGUGGCUUACCAAGGCUUUGACGGGUAGCCGGCCUGAGAGGGUGACCGGCCACAUUGGGACUGAGAUACGGCCCAGACUCCUACGGGAGGCAGCAGUGGGGAAUAUUGCACAAUGGGCGGAAGCCUGAUGCAGCAACGCCGCGUGCGGGAUGACGGCCUUCGGGUUGUAAACCGCUUUCGCCUGUGACGAAGCGUGAGUGACGGUAAUGGGUAAAGAAGCACCGGCUAACUACGUGCCAGCAGCCGCGGUGAUACGUAGGGUGCGAGCGUUGUCCGGAUUUAUUGGGCGUAAAGGGCUCGUAGGUGGUUGAUCGCGUCGGAAGUGUAAUCUUGGGGCUUAACCCUGAGCGUGCUUUCGAUACGGGUUGACUUGAGGAAGGUAGGGGAGAAUGGAAUUCCUGGUGGAGCGGUGGAAUGCGCAGAUAUCAGGAGGAACACCAGUGGCGAAGGCGGUUCUCUGGGCCUUUCCUGACGCUGAGGAGCGAAAGCGUGGGGAGCGAACAGGCUUAGAUACCCUGGUAGUCCACGCUGUAAACGGUGGGUACUAGGUGUGGGGUCCAUUCCACGGGUUCCGUGCCGUAGCUAACGCUUUAAGUACCCCGCCAGGGGAGUACGGCCGCAAGGCUAAAACUCAAAGGAAUUGACGGGGCCCCGCACAAGCGGCGGAGCAUGCGGAUUAAUUCGAUGCAACGCGUAGAACCUUACCUGGGUUUGACAUGGAUCGGGAGUGCUCAGAGAUGGGUGUGCCUCUUUUGGGGUCGGUUCACAGGUGGUGCAUGGCUGUCGUCAGCUCGUGUCGUGAGAUGUUGGGUUAAGUCCCGCAACGAGCGCAACCCUUGUUCACUGUUGCCAGCACGUUAUGGUGGGGACUCAGUGGAGACCGCCGGGGUCAACUCGGAGGAAGGUGGGGAUGACGUCAAGUCAUCAUGCCCCUUAUGUCCAGGGCUUCACGCAUGCUACAAUGGCUGGUACAGAGAGUGGCGAGCCUGUGAGGGUGAGCGAAUCUCGGAAAGCCGGUCUCAGUUCGGAUUGGGGUCUGCAACUCGACCUCAUGAAGUCGGAGUCGCUAGUAAUCGCAGAUCAGCAACGCUGCGGUGAAUACGUUCCCGGGGCU
rnacentral:rRNA from 1 species